rnacentral:lncRNA from 1 species
CCCGACGCGGAAGUCUGUUGGAGGGAGCGGGUCCCGGGGGGCCGGAGCGGGCCGGGCCGGGCCGUCCUGUCCUGGGCUGCCGCUCCGGCUGUGCCGGGACCUGCUUCGCCCAGGGCGGGCUGUUGAAUAGCUUUUACUUGCCUUGGUCCCUGCCAGCGCGGUGUGCCGGAGCCGGAUCGGCUGUGCGCGCUCUGGAGCUCUCCCCGGAGACUGGGCGGCUCCGGGGGGCUCCGGUGCGGUGCAGGAUGUUCGUCCUCGGUUCCCUCAGCCCGAAAUAAAGCCGUGUACGUGUUUGACGUACUCGGGGCUCUGCUCGCCUGUGGUAAACACCGCUAGCUGUGUGAGGACACGGAGCUGUGGGCUGCCUGCGCUGGGCCCGUUCUCUGGGACCUGCAAGAGUGUCUGUGGCUGCAGACCACCCUGUGUACUGAACAGCACCCAGGCCUGUCCUUGGACAAAGCUCUCUGAGGAUAAAGCUGACCUGCUGAGGCAACCAAGAAAAGCAAGUACGUGCAAAAAAAAAAAAAAAAAAGUAGCCUUGGCCUUGUUAACUCAGC